rnacentral:rRNA from 1 species
UACGGGGGGUGCGAGCGUUGUUCGGAAUUACUGGGCGUAAAGCGCACGUAGGCGGCUAUUCAAGUCAGAGGUGAAAGCCCCGGGCUCAACCUGGGAAUUGCAUUCGAGACUGCUCUGCUAGGGUGCGGAAGAGGGAAGCGGAAUUUCCGGUGUAGCGGUGAAAUGCGUAGAUAUCGGAAGGAACACCAGUGGCGAAAGCGGCUUCCUGGUCCAGCACCGACGUUCAGGCACGAAAGCGUGGGGAGCAAACAGG